rnacentral:rRNA from 1 species
CAUUUUUACUUACCGACGAUGACAAAGAUCAAAAUCCAACCCUACUCUACGUACAAACGUACGAACACGAAGACAGUGAUGUUAGAUAUGAUGACGAUAACAGUAUAGGACCAACAAAACAACGAUAGUUAUAGACAGGGUACAAAACAAAGGAACGUACGAAUGAUGAUGUAAGAUAUGAUGAUAACACGGUCUACAAGUGUACAAUUAAAAACAACUGAUUUUAGAGAAUACGGCAACUGAAUCGAACUGGGUCUUAUCGUCGUAGGAACUACGCUGAUUGGAAGUGGAGCAAGAAAGGGAGCGUCUGAGCUUCCUCCGGCAUACGUUCCGUGGUUCCACGUACCACGAGCGUUCGCUGCUUGCCUCCGACAAGCUGUAGCCGAUGUGUUUGGUGGUAACUCGAGGUCCAGAUACCUUAAACUUCAAGCUUCGACAUAUCGGGAUGAGUCGUUUCUCAACAGAGAUACAAACUGACAUUAUCUGACAUUUAUUACAUUAUAACAUUAUCAUCCGUAUAACCCCAACAUUAUCUG